UAUUAGGUUGGUGCGAAAGUAAUGGUGGGUUUUGCCUUUAAAACUAAUGGCAAAACCCACAAUUACUUUUGCACCAACCUAAUC
rfam:Pan troglodytes isolate Yerkes chimp pedigree #C0471 (Clint) chromosome 10, whole genome shotgun sequence.